rnacentral:rRNA from 1 species
CCUAGUUGAUCCUGCCAGUAGUCAUAUGCUUGUCUCAAAGAUUAAGCAUGCAUGUGUAAGUAUGAACUAAUUUAGAUUGUGAAACUGCGAAUGGCUCAUUAAUUCAGUUAUAGUUUGUUUGAUGGUACCUGCUACUCGGAUAAUUGUAGUAAUUCUAGAGCUAAUACAUGCAACAAACACUGACAUCUAGAAGGGAUGCAUUUAUUAGAUAAAAGGUCGAUACGAGCUCUGCUCGUUGCUGCGAAAAUUCAUGAUAACUCGAUGAAUCACACGGCUCUCGUGCCGGUGACGCAUCAUUCAAAUUUCUACGCUAUCAACUUUCGAUGGUAGGAUAGUGGCCUACCAUGGUGGUGACGGGUGACAGAGUCCGGAGAAGGAGCCUGAGAAACGGCUACCACAUCCAAGGAAGGCAGUAGGUGCGCAAAUUACCCAAUCUUGACACGGGGAGGUAGUGACAAUAAAUAACAAUACUAGGUUCUUCGAGUCUCGUAAUUGGAAUGAGUACAAUCUAAAUCCCUUAACGAGAAUUCAUUGGAGAGCAAGUCUGGUGCCAACAACCAUGAUAAUUCUAGCUCCAAUAGCGUAUAUUUAAGUUGUUGCAGUUAAAAUGCUCGUAGUUGGACUUUGGGUUGGGCUGACCGGUCCACCUUCGGGUGUGCACCAGUCGUCUCGUCCCUUCUGCCGGCGAUGCACUCCUGGUCUUAACUAGCUGGGUCGUGUCUCCAGCGUUGUUACUUUGAAGAAAUUAGAGUGCUCAAAGCAAGCCUACGCUCUAGAUACAUUAGCAUGGGAUAACAUUAUAGGAUUUCAGUCCUAUUAUGUUGGCCUUCGAGAUCGGAGUAAUGAUUAAUAGUGACAGUCGGGGGCAUUCGUAUUUCAUAGUCAGAGGUGAAAUUCUUGGAUUUAUGAAAGACAAACAACUGCGAAAGCAUUUGCCAAGGAUGUUUUCAUUAAUCAAGAACGAAAGUUGGGGGUUCGAAGAUGAUCAGAUACCGUCCUAGUCUCAACCAUAAAAGAUGCCGACCAGGGAUCGGCAGAUGUUGCUUAAAGGACUCCGCCGGCACCUUAUGAGAUAUCAAAGUCUUUGGGUUCCGGGGGGAGUAUGGUCGCAAGCCUGAAACUUAAAGUAAUUGAUAGAAGGACUCUACCAGGAGUUGAGCCUGCGGCUUAAUUUGACUCAACAUGGGGAAACUUACCAGGUCAAGACAUAGUAAGCAUUGACAGACUGAGAGCUCUUUCUUGAUUCUAUGGGUGGUGGGGCAUGGCCGUUCUUAGUUGGUGGAGCGAUUUGUCUUGUUAAUUCCAUUAACGAACGAGACCUCAGCCUACUAACUAGCUAUGCGGAGGUAUCCCUUCGCGACCAGCUUCUUAGAGGGACUACAGCCUUUUAGGCCGCGGAAGUUUGAGGCAAUAACAGGUCUGUGAUGCCCUUAGAUGUUCUGGGCCGCACGCGUGCUACACUGAUGUAUUCAACGAGUUUAUAGCCUUGGCCGAUAGGCCCAGGUAAUCUUUGAAAUUUCAUCGUGAUGGGGAUAUAUCAUUGCAAUUGUUGGUCUAGGAUUUAAUGGUCCCUGCCCUUUGUACACACCGCCCGUCACUCCUACCGAUUGAAUGGUCUGGUGAAGUGUUCGGAUCGAGGCGAUGUGGGCGGUUCGCCGCCCGCAACAUAGCGAGAAGUCCACUGAACCUUAUCAUUUAGAGGAAGGAGAAAUCGCAACAAGGUUUCCGUAGGUGAACCUGCGGAAG